AGGUAAGCUACUAAGAGCGAAUGGUGGAUGCCUUGACUGGUAAAGGCGAUGAAGGACGUACUAGACUGCGAUAAGCUACGGGGAGCUGUCAAGAAGCUUUGAUCCGUAGAUUUCCGAAUGGGGCAACCCAAUGUAUAGAGAUAUACAUUACCUAUAUAGGAGCGAACGAGGGGAAUUGAAACAUCUUAGUACCCUCAGGAAAAGAAAUCAAUAGAGAUUGCGUCAGUAGCGGCGAGCGAAAGCGCAAGAGGGCAAACCCAGUGCUUGCACUGGGGGUUGUAGGACUGCAAUGUGCAAGAGGUAAGUUUAGCAGAACAUUCUGGAAAGUAUAACCAUAGAGGGUGAUAGUCCCGUAUGCGAAAAACAAACCUUAGCUAGCAGUAUCCUGAGUAGGGCGGGACACGAGGAAUCCUGUCUGAAUCCGGGUCGACCACGAUCCAACCCUAAAUACUAAUACCAGAUCGAUAGUGCACAAGUACCGUGAGGGAAAGGUGAAAAGAACUGAGGUGAUCAGAGUGAAAUAGAACCUGAAACCAUUUGCUUACAAUCAUUCAGAGCCUUAUGUAGCAAUACAGGGUGAUGGACUGCCUUUUGCAUAAUGAGCCUGCGAGUUGUGGUGUCUGGCAAGGUUAAGCAAACGCGAAGCCGUAGCGAAAGCGAGUCUGAAUAGGGCGCUUAGUCAGAUGCUGCAGACCCGAAACGAAGUGAUCUAUCCAUGAGCAAGUUGAAGCUAGUGUAAGAACUAGUGGAGGACUGAACCCAUAGGCGUUGAAAAGCCCCGGGAUGACUUGUGGAUAGGGGUGAAAGGCCAAUCAAACUUCGUGAUAGCUGGUUCUCUCCGAAAUAUAUUUAGGUAUAGCGUUGUGUCGUAAUAUAAGGGGGUAGAGCACUGAAUGGGCUAGGGCAUACACCAAUGUACCAAACCCUAUCAAACUCCGAAUACCUUAUAUGUAAUCACAGCAGUCAGGCGGCGAGUGAUAAAAUCCGUCGUCAAGAGGGAAACAACCCAGACUACCAGCUAAGGUCCCUAAAUCUUACUUAAGUGGAAAACGAUGUGAAGUUACUUAAACAACCAGGAGGUUGGCUUAGAAGCAGCCAUCCUUUAAAGAAAGCGUAAUAGCUCACUGGUCUAGUGAUUUUGCGCGGAAAAUAUAACGGGGCUAAAGUAAGUACCGAAGCUGUAGACUUAGUUUACUAAGUGGUAGGAGAGCGUUCUAUUUGCGUCGAAGGUAUACCGGUAAGGAGUGCUGGAGCGAAUAGAAGUGAGCAUGCAGGCAUGAGUAGCGAUAAUUAAUGUGAGAAUCAUUAACGCCGUAAACCCAAGGUUUCCUACGCGAUGCUCGUCAUCGUAGGGUUAGUCGGGUCCUAAGUCGAGUCCGAAAGGGGUAGACGAUGGCAAAUUGGUUAAUAUUCCAAUACCAACAUUAGUGUGCGAUGGAAGGACGCUUAGGGCUAAGGGGGCUAGCGGAUGGAAGUGCUAGUCUAAGGUCGUAGGAGGUUAUACAGGCAAAUCCGUAUAACAAUACUCCGAGAACUGAAAGGCUUUUUGAAGUCUUCGGAUGGAUAGAAGAACCCCUGAUGCCGUCGAGCCAAGAAAAGUUUCUAAGUUUAGCUAAUGUUGCCCGUACCGUAAACCGACACAGGUGGGUGGGAUGAGUAUUCUAAGGCGCGUGGAAGAACUCUCUUUAAGGAACUCUGCAAAAUAGCACCGUAUCU
rnacentral:rRNA from 1 species